GUUAUGAAUUUAGUAGUCGGGGGAAAUAAACUAACCGGAUUUUUUCUAAGUAACGGCGAGCGAACCGGGAAAAGCCCAAAACUGAAUCCUCUGCCGUUGGGUGGUAGGAAAUGUAGUUUUCGGGUGGGUCUUUGCCGCUCUCAGCCAGUCUAUAGUUCGCGCGAUUGCGGCUUGCUCAAAGAGGGUGUAAAGCCCGUCCGGAUUGGCGAGUUUGAGGCGCUGGCCUACUCACGAGUCGAGUUGUUUGGUAUUGCAACUCAAAUUGGGUGGUAAACUCCAUCCAAGGCUAAAUAUAACACUAGACCGAUAGUAAACAAGUACCGUGAGGGAAAGUUGAAAAGAACUUUGAAGAGAGAGUUAAACAGUACGUGAAAUCAUCCAGAGGUAAACGGGUAAAGCCGAAACUAAAGAGUUGGUUGACGUCUUUUGAGUGCUUUUACAAACGGCGAAUUCGCUGGCAGGAUAUAGGCUGUUUAAAGUCGUGUCUAGCUGCGAUAUCGGCUACUCAAUUGGCAGAUUCCACUCUUUUUAACCAUGAUCAACGGUCAUUUUUGACUGGUCUCUGUUCUGGUGAGAGGUAGUGAGUCGGGCCUAACAGCUCUGCUUGUGAUUACCACUGUGUCAGUUGGCUAGUUGGCUGUUGUCCAGUUGCGAUGCAAGUUCCGCUUCCAGUACUUGGCUUUCACGUCAUGGUGCUUGGUUAUGUGGGCGCACAAGUUUUUUUGGCUUAUUGCCUCAGUUAGGCUGGCGGCACGCGAGAACUCGUGUGUUGCUGGUCUGGUUGAUUGGCUUUUUUGGUCGACCUCUGUGCAUUGUGUUGACAAUCUAUGGUUGCUUGUGUGUAGGCUGUUUACCUGUCCCGUCUUGAAACACGGACCAAGGAGUUUAACUAACGUGCAAGUCAAUGGGCCGAUCGAACCCCAAAGGCGUAAUGAAAGUAAAGGCCAGCGUUUUUUGCAGGCCGAGGUGAGAUCUUUGACACUGCGGUGUUGAGGCGCAUCACCAGCUCAUUGCAUUCUUAUUGUUGCGGUGAAGCUAGAGCAUGUUGGUUGUGACCCGAAAGAUGGUGAACUAUGCA
rnacentral:rRNA from 1 species